rfam:Oryza sativa (indica cultivar-group) chromosome 11, whole genome shotgun sequence.
AAUAAGUGUAAUUUUAGCACUAUUCAUGUUCAACGUUUGACCAUUCGUCUUAUUUGAAAAAAGAUUAUGAUUAGUAUUUUUAUUAUUAUUAGAUGAUAAAACAUGAAUAGCACUUUAUGUGUGACUAAUUUUUUUAAUAUUUUUCAUUAAUUUUUUCAAAUAAGACAGAUGGUCAAAGCGCUAAACACGGAUAUCUAUGGUUGCACUUAUU